AUUGAACGCUGGCGGCAGGCCUAACACAUGCAAGUCGAGCGGAUGAAGGGAGCUUGCUCCUGGAUUCAGCGGCGGACGGGUGAGUAAUGCCUAGGAAUCUGCCUGGUAGUGGGGGAUAACGUCCGGAAACGGGCGCUAAUACCGCAUACGUCCUGAGGGAGAAAGUGGGGGAUCUUCGGACCUCACGCUAUCAGAUGAGCCUAGGUCGGAUUAGCUAGUUGGUGGGGUAAAGGCCUACCAAGGCGACGAUCCGUAACUGGUCUGAGAGGAUGAUCAGUCACACUGGAACUGAGACACGGUCCAGAGUCCUACGGGAGGCAGCAGUGGGGAAUAUUGGACAAUGGGCGAAAGCCUGAUCCAGCAAUGCCGCGUGUGUGAAGAAGGUCUUCGGAUUGUAAAGCACUUUAAGUUGGGAGGAAGGGCAGUAAGUUAAUACCUUGCUGUUUUGACGUUACCAACAGAAUAAGCACCGGCUAACUUCGUG
rnacentral:rRNA from 1 species